GAGAGAGGAAGGGCGGCUGCCGGCGAGAUUUCGCUGAGGAAAGUCCCCUCACCUUCUGGACCGCGGAUGCUCGCAAGGGCAUAGGGUGAGAAUCUUGGCUCUGGAACAGAAACGAUACCGCAGCGCAGUAAUGCGAUGAGCUCGAAAGAGUGAGGUCAUGCGUAUGCGGAUGGAACGGCGAAUCCCCGCGGGUGCAAGCCGAAAUAGGACUACAAGGGCAGUCCAGACCUGUCCGAGUACGGCGCAUAGCCAAAUGCUGCAUGAGCGCUCCAGGGGCAUUGCUCCUGCGCUAAACAUAAAGGGGCUUACUCUCCUCACUC
rnacentral:RNase_P_RNA from 1 species